rnacentral:rRNA from 1 species
AGAGUAACACGUGGGUAACCUGCCUGUAAGACUGGGAUAACUCCGGGAAACCGGGGCUAAUACCGGAUGGUUGUUUGAACCGCAUGGUUCAGACAUAAAAGGUGGCUUCGGCUACCACUUACAGAUGGACCCGCGGCGCAUUAGCUAGUUGGUGAGGUAACGGCUCACCAAGGCGACGAUGCGUAGCCGACCUGAGAGGGUGAUCGGCCACACUGGGACUGAGACACGGCCCAGACUCCUACGGGAGGCAGCAGUAGGGAAUCUUCCGCAAUGGACGAAAGUCUGACGGAGCAACGCCGCGUGAGUGAUGAAGGUUUUCGGAUCGUAAAGCUCUGUUGUUAGGGAAGAACAAGUGCCGUUCAAAUAGGGCGGCACCUUGACGGUACCUAACCAGAAAGCCACGGCUAACUACGUGCCAGCAGCCGCGGUAAUACGUAGGUGGCAAGCGUUGUCCGGAAUUAUUGGGCGUAAAGGGCUCGCAGGCGGUUUCUUAAGUCUGAUGUGAAAGCCCCCGGCUCAACCGGGGAGGGUCAUUGGAAACUGGGGAACUUGAGUGCAGAAGAGGAGAGUGGAAUUCCACGUGUAGCGGUGAAAUGCGUAGAGAUGUGGAGGAACACCAGUGGCGAAGGCGACUCUCUGGUCUGUAACUGACGCUGAGGAGCGAAAGCGUGGGGAGCGAACAGGAUUAGAUACCCUGGUAGUCCACGCCGUAAACGAUGAGUGCUAAGUGUUAGGGGGUUUCCGCCCCUUAGUGCUGCAGCUAACGCAUUAAGCACUCCGCCUGGGGAGUACGGUCGCAAGACUG